GAAAUGCGAUAAGUAAUGUGAAUUGCAGAAUUCCGUGAAUCAUCGAAUCUUUGAAAGCACAUUGCGCCCUCUGGUAUUCCGGGGGGCAUGCCUGUCCGAGCGUCAUUGCGAACCCCUCAAGCACGGCUUGUGUGAUGGGCCCUCCCGCGUCUUGGUCGUCAAGACGGGCCCGAAAUGCAGUGGCGGCUUCGCGGUUAUCCGAUCAGCCAGAGCGUAUGGGGACUUUCUCUCUGUCACACGCCCGCGGCGCGGACCGACGCCUGUCGACCUUUAUUCAUCUUUUUCUCGGUUGACCUCGGAUCAGGUAGGGAUACCCGCUGAACUUAAGC
rnacentral:misc_RNA from 1 species